GACUCAUUCGCUCCGGUGGUCUAGUGGUUAGAGCAUCCGCAUCGGAUGCGGAAGAUCGUAAGUUUGAUCCCUGGCCGAGUCA